rnacentral:rRNA from 1 species
CACCAGACUCCUACGGGAGGCCGCAGUAGGGCCUCUUCGGCAAUGGCCGCCAGUCUGACCGCGCCACGCCGCGUGCGUGAAGAAGGGUUUCGGAUCGUAACCCUCUGUUGGUAGCGCCGCCCGUUGGUGCGCGUGGAAAGCUCCUCCCGUGACGGUACCUCCCCAGAAAGGGCCGGCUAACUACGUGCCCGCAGCCGCGGUCCUCCGUAGGUCCCGAGCGUUGUCCGGAUUUAUUGGGCGUAAAGCGAGCGCAGGGGGUUGAGGAAGUCUGGUGGAAAAGGCAGUGGCUCAACCAUUGUAUGCAUUGGAAACUGGUAGACUUGAGGGCAGGAGAGGAGGGGGGAAUUCCAUGGGGAGCGGUGAAAGGCGGAGAUAUAUGGAGGAACACCGGUGGAGAAAGCGGCUCUCGGGCCGGUAACUGACACUGAGGCUCGAAAGCGUGGGGAGCAAACAGGAUUAGAUACCCCGGUA